rnacentral:lncRNA from 1 species
AGAAGAUAGUUUUAUAUCUACUUUCAAUAUCUUGAAAAGAGUUCUCCAAAAUCUUGAUAAAAAUUGUGUUCUUUAUUUGAUAUAAUAUCCUUUGAUAAUCCAUAAUAGCGAUUGUAGAAUGUAUAAAUGACUUUUCUGGUUCGUUAUCGGUUAAAUAGUAGUAAUGUUGGAAUUUAGAUGAAUGGUUAGUUCGAUUAGUUGUUAAUAGUAGGAAGUUAGGAACAUAUGUAGUUAAGAAGCCAAAGUUUCACAACCUGUGGAAUCUGCUGAAUGACGAUUCAUAUUUUGGUAGGAUAAAGAGGUUGAGGAAGAAGGAAUGGGGGCCA